AGAUAUAAAAUCCUUUACCUUGGCCCUGAUUCUGCUACAUGUUGUUCAGCUCAGGAUGAUCUAUUUUCUUUUGAAAGACAAGAGUUGAGCCCUCUGAUGUUCCCUCCACACAUCAUUAUUUUCAAGGGGGACCUCUGACCUGCAUGCCAGAGAAGGAAAACUUAAAAGCAUCUGUUUCCCCCUGUGCAAUUUUCACACUUCUGUUCCUGGGAGGCUGAAGUUUGGCCCUUGGGGCUGGAAUGGAAGGUUCCAGAUCAGCACCUGAGAUCUCCAUCUGUAUCACCAUCCUCAGCAACUGCUCAGAGGCCCACAGGAAGGUGGGUUCCACAGGAAUCCUUGGUGAGAUCAUGUAA
rnacentral:lncRNA from 1 species